rnacentral:rRNA from 1 species
AGAGCGAACGCUGGCGGCAGGCCUAACACAUGCAAGUCGAACGGACCCUUCGGGGUUAGUGGCGGACGGGUGAGUAACACGUGGGAACGUGCCUUUUGGUUCGGAAUAGCUCCUGGAAACGGGUGGUAAUGCCGAAUGUGCCCUUCGGGGGAAAGAUUUAUCGCCAUUAGAGCGGCCCGCGUCUGAUUAGCUAGUUGGUGAGGUAAUGGCUCACCAAGGCGACGAUCAGUAGCUGGUCUGAGAGGAUGACCAGCCACAUUGGGACUGAGACACGGCCCAAACUCCUACGGGAGGCAGCAGUGGGGAAUCUUGCGCAAUGGGCGAAAGCCUGAUCCAGCAAU